CUCUGUCUCUGUCUCUCUCUCAAAAAUAAAUAAAAUGUGAAAAAAAAAAAAAAAGAUCGAGACCAUCCUUCCACCCUCGGUCAGAACUCUGAUCAUUUCCUUCAGGUAGAAUUCUAGAAAUGGAACCGAGGAGGAAAAACUGUUCAAUGCUGAGGCUUAAACCCCUCUUGCCACACUGCCUUCCAAAGCGACAACCGCAUGCACAGAGGCUCUGUGGCAUGUCACGAAGGUGUCCCCGGCUCUCUGUAACGUUAAGGGAAAAUGAGGUGCGUGUGUUGGUCUAGCUGGUGAGUGUGCAUGAUGCGUCAGAGGAAGCACUUGUAAAAUCAAACCAAACCCGAAACAACAGAAUUGCAAUGACUUGCCUGUCCUGUCACCUGCGGUUCCAAACCCAAACCAAUGCUUUAACAAAAAGAUUUAAACAGCUGGCUCAAGACCCUUUGACCCGGAGUUUCAAAUCACGCUGCUGGGAAUACGCUUCUGAUUUGAAAACUGGUGUCAGGAGUUUCUGUCGAGCAAGCCAAUUUCCUGCUCACUGUUCCCAGGUAAAGGGAAGGCUUGCUCAGACUACUGCCCCAGGGAGAAAACGCUCCCCGACCCUCCUAGGGCUCUCAGCAAGGGUGUGAGGCGCUGGGCCGCCCCUGGGAUGGGAUUGGGGGCUUGCAGAGAGCAUCCCCCCGGCCACGAGGGCGGCUCUGGGGGAAGAGCUGGGCAGCGGCGCGCCUCAGUUUACCGGCCGGGAGCACGGGCCCAGCGCCGGCUGGCGCGCACCCCCUCCGGCGCACUCACCUCCGCCGUACAUCUGGCACAGCCCAGGUGCGUGCUUGAGUCUCAGUAAAGGUUCGCUGAUACGUGCAAAGGCUGCCACAGAAUCUGGGCACUUCGGUGUCAGUCCAUCAUUAUCGUUCUCUAACAUCGACAGCCCGGGCACCCACAUUUCAGGAAGUUUCUUCAGACAUUCGAGCUUUUAUGGCUCGCCUAUGACGUGCCAGGAGCUCGCUCGGCUUGGGGACUGGAGGAACGGCUCUGGAUGGGACGGCGCCCUCUCCCUGCUGCCCAAGCGAAAUAGAAUACCCAUUCAGACAACUGCACGCGAAGAUACACAGCUCAGAAAUGACCGUCUCACCCAGGUCACGAAAGGGAUGGCCAGCGCCCCAGCGGUCCCUUCACCGACCCUGCGCGUCGCACCCGCGCCCUCCCUGCAGAAGUGACCCCGUGCUGACACCGUCUUGCUUUCCUGUAUGGUUUUACGCCCCGGGCGUGAAUCCUACUCCAGUUCUGUUUUGUCUGGGUUUAAACUUUGUAUCAGGAAAAAAUAUAGUGGCUAUUCUUCGGCGUUUGA